GCGUCAGUGGUGCAGCGAGUUAGCGCACUAGCCUCGUACAAAGUGAGUUGCGGGUUCGAGUCCCGCCUGAGACA